rnacentral:misc_RNA from 1 species
GAAAUGCGAUACGUAAUGUGAAUUGCAGGAGUAGUGAAUCAUCAAACCUUUGAACGCAAGUUGCGCUCCCAGGAAAUCCUGGGAGCACGCUUGUUCGAGCGUCACCCACCAUCCUCAACCUCUCAACCCCCUCGUGGGGCUGCUGAGCAAGGACACGGGCAACUCCACCUUCAAGGGGGAGCUGCUUCAGUUUGAGCGAGCCACAGUGCAGCGCUGUCUCUCACCACGCAGAAGUCGGAAAGCCUUGUGCUCAUGACCCUGCACCCGAGAAGACUCUGUGCUCUCUGUCCCUCGUGGGUUCGGUCGCCUCGUGCGAUCAUUUUCACCCCGUGACCUCGAAUCAAGCGGAGCCACCCGCUGAAUUUAA